rnacentral:rRNA from 1 species
UACGUAGGGUGCGAGCGUUGUCCGGAAUUAUUGGGCGUAAAGAGCUCGUAGGCGGUUUGUUGCGUCGGCUGUGAAAUCCCGAGGCUCAACCUCGGGUCUGCAGUCGAUACGAGCAAACUAGAGUGUUGCAGGGGAGACUGGAAUUCUUGGUGUAGCGGUGAAAUGCGCAGAUAUCAGGAGGAACACCGGUGGCGAAGGCGGGUCUCUGGGCAACAACUGACGCUGAGGAGCGAAAGCGUGGGGAGCGAACAGG